CCUACGGGUGGCUGCAGUGGGGAAUAUUGCACAAUGGGCGCAAGCCUGAUGCAGCCAUGCCGCGUGUGUGAAGAAGGCCUUCGGGUUGUAAAGCACUUUCAGCGGGGAGGAAGGCGGUGAGGUUAAUAACCUCAUCGAUUGACGUUACCCGCAGAAGAAGCACCGGCUAGCUCCGUGCCAGCAGCCGCGGUAAUACGGAGGGUGCAAGCGUUAAUCGGGAUUACUGGGCGUAAAGCGCACGCAGGCGGUCUGUCAAGUCGGAUGUGAAAUCCCCGGGCUCAACCUGGGAACUGCAUUCGAAACUGGCAGGCUAGAGUCUUGUAGAGGGGGGUAGAAUUCCAGGGGUAGCGGUGAAAUGCGUAGAGAUCUGGAGGAAUACCGGUGGCGAAGGCGGCCCCCUGGACAAAGACUGACGCUCAGGUGCGAAAGCGUGGGGAGCAAACAGGAUUAGAUACCCUAGUAGUC
rnacentral:rRNA from 1 species